ensembl:antisense
AUGAAAGUUCGUACACUGGACAAGGAGUAAGGCAUAAUCUACCAAGGGAGGCAGAAGAAAUAACACAGAAAUUUUGAGGAAGCUUUUGGGAAGUUCACUCAGGUGAGUGAGUGGAAGCCAGACAGAGUGAGGCAGCAAAAUGACCUUGUAGGAAAAAGACAUUUAGCCACAGUAGAUGCAAGAGACAGCGGAACCACUCUGUGAGGACAACUCACUGAAAGAUGCAUUUGAGUAAGACAGGGAACUCAUUCUUUGAAAACAAAGACUGGAUGAAUAGGAUGAGGAAGGAGAGGAUGAGGAGAUGAGACAGAACUGGGACCAUGAAAGUGCUCCACUGAGGGACUGAAGCCUGCUAAGAGGGGGAAGCUGGAGGGAGUGCUUUGUGCUUUCUGGAAGAUCACUGCUGAGCCAGGAUUCAGUUACAGAGCAUCUUCUGAAGGGAAAGGUCUAGUUCUAUUAACAGUGAACGAGCACAAAUGAUAAGCCUGGAGAUACGCUGCUGCGUUCUGAUUCCGCUUUGGAGCAUACUGCAAAGACGUUUCUGUAAAGAUCGUGAACAGAAGCUUACUAACCAUUUUGUAAGGAAAACUAGAAGAGACUGCAUUUCUUAUCCAAAUGAUUCCACUGUUAUCAGACAGAUGCUCUUACUUGCAGGGGCAAGAAUGACCCUCAGCACAAGGUUCAGGUGAAUUAGACUGGCCUUCAGCCGAGCAAUGCAAUGCAGGCUAAGACAGAGUAGUAGGAAUGCUGUUAGGCUGCUCAUUGGUGUUGGUUAGCAUGCACUGCCCUCAUCGUCUGUGUUACCAACAGCUAUUUAUCUGAUGGAACAGUGUUGACAGAACUUGGACUUGUGCCAAACCUCCUGAUGAGAAACAAGGUGGAACAGGCUGGCUGGAGGGAACGUUUCCUUUUUAGGAAGCAGCAGCAAGAAGAUACAUGGAAACAAGGUUGGAACACUAUCACUGCUGCAGAUACCAGAAACAUUUCUAAGU